rnacentral:rRNA from 1 species
UACGUAGGGUGCGAGCGUUACUCGGAAUUACUGGGCGUAAAGCGUGCGCAGGCGGUUCGUUAUGUCCGAUGUGAAAGCCCCGAGCUCAACUUGGGAAUGGCAUUGGAAACUGGCGGGCUGGAGUGUGGCAGAGGGGGGUGGAAUUCCACGUGUAGCAGUGAAAUGCGUAGAGAUGUGGAGGAACACCGAUGGCGAAGGCAGCCCCCUGGGCUAACACUGACGCUCAGGCACGAAAGCGUGGGGAGCAAACAGG